rnacentral:rRNA from 1 species
CCCAGACUCCUACGGGAGGCAGCAGUGGGGGAUAUUGCACAAUGGGGGAAACCCUGAUGCAGCGACGCCGCGUGGGCGAAGAAGUAUUUCGGUAUGUAAAGCCCUAUCAGCAGGGAAGAAGAAAUGACGGUACCUGAGUAAGAAGCACCGGCUAAAUACGUGCCAGCAGCCGCGGUAAUACGUAGGGGGCAAGCGUUAUCCGGAUUUACUGGGUGUAAAGGGGGCGCAGACGGCGAUGCAAGCCAGGAGUGAAAGCCCGGGGCCCAACCCCGGGACUGCUCUUGGAACUGCGUGGCUGGAGUGCAGGAGGGGCAGGCGGAAUUCCUGGUGUAGCGGUGAAAUGCGUAGAUAUCAGGAGGAACACCGGUGGCGAAGGCGGCCUGCUGGACUGCAACUGACGUUGAGGCUCGAAAGCGUGGGGAGCAAACAGGAUUAGAUACCCUGGUAU